GGUGGGUUGGCCGAGUGGUUAAGGCAAGAGUUUGCUAAACUCUGACGGCCUUCAAAAGUCGUCCGCUGGUUCGAAUCCAGCACCCACCG
rnacentral:tRNA from 1 species